rnacentral:rRNA from 1 species
GGACUACACGGGUAUCUAAUCCUGUUUGCUCCCCACGCUGUCGCGCCUCAGCGUCAGCAACGGCCCAGCAGACCGCCUUCGCCACCGAUGUUCUUCCCGAUCUCUACGCAUUCCACCGCUACACCGGGAAUUCCAUCUGCCUCUACCGUGCUCGAGCCUAACAGUCUAGGAGGCAGCCCUGCAGUUAAGCCGCAGGAUUUCACCCCCUACUUAUCAGGCCGCCUACGCGCCCUUUACGCCCAGUGAUUCCGGACAACGCUCGCACCCUCUGUAUUACCGCGGCGGCUGGCAC